rnacentral:misc_RNA from 1 species
GAUGUAGAACGUAGCGAAAUGCGAUAAGUAAUGUGAAUUGCAGAAUUCAGUGAAUCAUCGAAUCUUUGAACGCACAUUGCGCCCGCCAGUAUUCUGGCGGGCAUGCCUGUCUGAGCGUCAUUUCAACCCUCAUGCCCCUAGGGCGUGGUGUUGGGGAUCGGCCAAAGCCCGCGAGGGACGGCCGGCCCCUAAAUCUAGUGGCGGACCCGUCGUGGCCUCCUCUGCGAAGUAGUGAUAUUCCGCAUCGGAGAGCGACGAGCCCCUGCCGUUAAACCCCCAACUUUCCAAGGUUGACCUCAGAUCAGGUAGGAAUACCCGCUGAACUUAAGCAUAUCAAUAAGCGGAGGA